AUUGAACGCUGGCGGCAUGCCUUACACAUGCAAGUCGAACGGCAGCACGGGGCAACCUGGUGGCGAGUGGCGAACGGGUGAGUAAUGCAUCGGAACGUACCUUUCAGUGGGGGAUAACGUAGCGAAAGUUACGCUAAUACCGCAUAUUCUGUGAGCAGGAAAGCAGGGGAUCGCAAGAACUUGCGCUGAUUGAGCGGCCGAUGUCAGAUUAGCUAGUUGGUGAGGUAAAGGCUCACCAAGGCGAAGAUCUGUAGCGGGUCUGAGAGGAGGAUGCGUCACACGGGAACUGAGGCACGGUCCAUACUCCUACGCGAGGCAGCAGUGGUGAAUUUUGGACAAUGGGGUCAACGCUGAUCCAGCCAUACCGCGUGAGUGAAGAAUGCCUUCUGGUUGUAAAGCUCUUUCGGCCGGGGAGAAAUCGCACGGGCUAAUACCCUGUGUGGAUGACGGUACCGGAAUAAGAAGCACCGGCUAACUACGUGCCAGCCGCCGCGGUAACAC
rnacentral:rRNA from 1 species